GACGAACGCUGGCGGCGUGCUUAACACAUGCAAGUCGAACGGAAAGGCCCUGCUUUUGUGGGGUGCUCGAGUGGCGAACGUGUGAGUAACACGUGAGUAACCUGCCCUUGACUUUGGGAUAACUUCAGGAAACUGGGGCUAAUACCGGAUAGGAGCUCCUGCUGCAUGGUGUGGGUUGGAUAGUUUCGGCGGUUGGGGAUUGUCUCGCGGCUUAUCAGCUUGUUGGUGGGGUAGUGGCUUACCAAGGCUUUGACGGGUAGCCGGACUGAGAGGGUGAACGGCCACAAUGGGACUGAGAUAGGGACCAGAGGGCUACGGGAGGCAGCAGUGGGGAAUAUAGCAGAAUGGGCGGAAGCCUGAUGCAGAAACGCCGCGUGCGGGAUGACGGCCUUCGGGUUGUAAACAGCUUUAGCCUGUGACGAAGCGUGAGUGACGGUAAUGGGUAAAGAAGCACCGGCUAACUACGUG
rnacentral:rRNA from 1 species